ensembl:lncRNA
AUCACUGACAGGAUAUAGAAUACACCUGGACAACAUCACUGACAGGAUAUAGAAUACACCACCUGGACAACAUCACUGACAGGAUAUAGAAUACACCACCUGGACAACAUCACUGACAGGAUAUAGAAUACACCUGGACAACAUCACUGACAGGAUAUAGAAUACACCUGGACAACAUCACUGACAGGAUAUAGAAUACACCACAUGGACAAUGUGUCUGACACAGAUUUAACUGUGUGGACAACAUUACUGACAGAUUCAAACCAGGUGGACAUCAAUCUGUCUGAUAUGGACAGGAGACAGCCUCACUGCUCUGAUGACCUGCAGAGAGGAGAGGAGACAAACAGACAGAGAUUCAAACCAGGUGGACAUCAAUCUGUCUGAUAUGGACAGGAGACAGCCUCACUGCUCUGAUGACCUGCAGAGAGGAGAGGAGACAAACAGACAGAGGUACAGAAGACGUUACUUGAAUCACCUUCCACAACACAUGAAUAAUGACAUUUGUAAACCCACUGAUCGUGGUGCCCUUUGUUUAAUGUAUGUCAACAUGACCCCGGGACAACACACUCCUUCUAAGGCUGAGAAACAGGUGUGUGAAAAUGUAUGACAGAUAAUGACGACUAUACGAGGGGGGGAGGGGGGGUUCUCUCUGUAUGUAGACAUUGAAUAAUGUAAUGUAUAGAUAUGACAUCAAUAAGACGAGGUUCUGUAUGUUGACAUCGAAUCAUAUCAUGGUUCUACACUAAAACAUAUUCUUGAAAACAUGUACAGCUUGUAAACCAGAAAUAAAGACAGACCAUAGUUUUAAUUCUGUGUCAACAAACUGUUCUUAAAAAUACCUAUCUGUUCUUCUCGGCUCUGUUGAGACUUGUGGAGUUAUUGGAUUGUUAAAUCUCUAUUUUUUUAAGGUGUGAUAUAUAUAUGUUUUAUAUGAAAAGGGAUUGGUUUAAAACUGGAGAUUUUAUUUGAUAGAUUUAUAACAUUCAAUUAUGUUUUUUUUACAUUUUUUUAUGUUGAUAAAAUGUUUUGCCUUGAUGAGAACAUGGCAGGCAGGUGGAGGGUGACAAAAACAAAAUGGCUUCCUUUCAAAACAAUCAUGUUCCGUGUUCACGUGCUAAUCAGAACUUGGAACUUUCCGACCUGCUGACCGGUUGUGGUUAUUAAACACGUGCCGCGUUCAACCAGUUAGAAAGUCUGAAUUUCCUAGUUUCCGACUAGCAAGUGAACACGACAUUAAACAUCCCAUUUUCCGGCGCAGGGAUAUGACGUCAUCAGUAUGAAUCUGCUGCAGGUGUUUAACUACGUCACCCAGUGUCACCCCGUGUAACUAUGGUUACUACGUCACACAGUGUUAACUACAUCACCCAGUGUCACCCCGUGUAACUAUGGUUACUACGUCACCCUGUGUUAACUACGUCACCCAGUGUCACCCCGUGUAACUAUGGUUACUACUUCACCCCGUGUUAACUACGUCACCCAGUGUCACCCCGUGUAACUAUGGUUACUACGUCACCCUGUGUUAACUACGUCACCCAGUGUCACCCCGUGUAACUAUGGUUACUACUUCACCCCGUGUUAACUACGUCACCCAGUGUCAACCCGUGUAACUAUGGUUACUACGUCACACCGUGUUAACUGCGUCACCCAGUGUCACCCUGUGUAACUAUGGUUACUACGUCACGCAGUGUUAACUACAUCACCCAGUGUCACCCCGUGUAACUAUGGUUACUACGUCACCCCGUGUUAACUACGUCACCCAGUGUCACCCUGUGUAACUAUGGUUACUACGUCACGCAGUGUUAACUACGUCAACCAGUGUCACCCCGUGUAACUAUGGUUACUAUGUCACCCAGUGUCAGGCCCAGUUAAAACAACCUGUAAUGCCCUAUUCAAUGCACCAUUGGGAUAACCCUACUGUCUGACCUGGACUGCAGUACACCAUAUUAUAUAGUGUAGGGAUCUCAUCACAACAACCCAGUCAGAUGUACUGGUAUAGAUAUCACCACCCUGUCAGAUGGUAUAGAUAUAACAACCCAGUUAGAUGGUAUAGAUAUCAACACCCUGUCGGAUGGUAUAGAUAUCACCACCCAGUCAGAUGGUAUAGAUAUCACCACCCAGUCAGAUGGUAUAGAUAUCACAACCCAGUCAGAUGUACUGGUAUAGAUAUCACAACCCAGUUAGAUGUACUGGUAUAGAUAUCACCACCCAGUCAGAUGUACUGGUAUAGAUAUCACAACCCAGUUAGAUGGUAUAGAUAUCACCAUCCAGUCAGAUGGUAUAGAUAUCACCACCCAGUCAGAUGUACUGGUAUAGAUAUCACCACCCAGUCAGAUGUACUGGUAUAGAUAUCACAACCCAGUUAGAUGGUAUAGAUAUCACCACCCAGUCAGAUGUACUGGUAUAGAUAUCACAACCCAGUUAGAUGGUAUAGAUGGUAUAGAUAUCACCACCCAGUUAGAUGGUAUAGAUAUCACCACCCAGUCAGAUGUACUGGUAUAGAUAUCACCACCCAGUCAGAUGUACUGGUAUAGAUAUCACCACCCAGUCAGAUGUACUGGUAUAGAUAUCACCACCCAGUAAGAUGGUAUAGAUAUCACCACCCAGUCAGAUGGUAUUAAUAAUACCACCCAGUCAGAUGUACUGGUAUAGAUAUCACCACCCAGUCAGAUGUACUGGUAUAGAUAUCACCACCCAGUCAGAUGGUAUAGAUAUCACCACCCAGUCAGAUGUACUGGUAUAGAUAUCACCACCCAGUCAGAUGGUAUAGAUAUCACAACCCAGUCAGAUGUACUGGUAUAGAUAUCACCACCAAGUCAGAUGUACUGGUAUAGAUAUCACCACCCAGUCAGAUGGUAUAGAUAUCACCAUCAACCCAGUCAGAGGUACUGGUAUAGAUAUCACCACCCAGUCAGAUGGUAUAGAUAUCACCACCCAGUCAGAUGUACUGGUAUAGAUAUCACAACCCAGUCAGAUGGUAUAGAUAUCACCACCCAGUCAGAUGUACUGGUAUAGAUAUCACCACUCAGUCAGAUGUACUGGUAUAGAUAUCACCACCCAGUCAGAUGGUAUAGAUAUCACAACCCAGUCAGAUGUACUGGUAUAGAUAUCACCACCAAGUCAGAUGUACUGGUAUAGAUAUCACCACCCAGUCAGAUGUACUGGUAUAGAUAUCACCACCCAGUCAGAUGUACUGGUAUAGACAUCACCACCAACCCAGUCAGAUGUACUGGUAUAGAUAUCACCACCCAGUCAGAUGGUAUAGAUAUCACCACCCAGUCAGAUGUACUGGUAUAGAUAUCACCACCCAGUCAGAUGUACUGGUAUAGAUAUCACCAUCAACCCAGUCAGAUGUACUGGUAUAGAUAUCACCAUCAACCCAGUCAGAUGUACUGGUAUAGAUAUCACCACCCAGUCAGAUAUACUGGUAUAGAUAUCACCACCCAGUCAGAUGUACUGGUAUAGAUAUCACCACCCAGUCAGAUGGUAUAGAUAUCACCACCCAGUCAGAUGUACUGGUAUAGAUAUCACCACCCAGUCAGAUGUACUGGUAUAGAUAUCACAACCCAGUCAGAUGUACUGGUAUAGAUAUCACCACCCAGUCAGAUGUACUGGUAUAGAUAUCACCACCCAGUCAGAUGUACUGGUAUAGAUAUCACCACCCAGUCAGAUGGUAUAGAUAUCACCACCCAGUCAGAUGUACUGGUAUAGAUAUCACCACCAAGUCAGAUGUGAUGGUAUAGAUAUCACCACCAACCCAGUCAGAUGUACUGGUAUAGAUAUCACCACCCAGUCAGAUGGUAUAGAUAUCACCACCCAGUCAGAUGUACUGGUAUAGAUAUCACCACCCAGUCAGAUGUACUGGUAUAGAUAUCACCACCCAGUCAGAUGUACUGGUAUAGACAUCACCACCAACCCAGUCAGAUGUACUGGUAUAGAUAUCACCACCCAAUCAGAUGAUAUAGAUAUCACCACCCAGUCAGAUGGUAUAGAUAUCACCACCAACCCAGUCAGAUGUUCUGGUAUAGAUAUCACCACCCAGUCAGAUGGUAUAGAUAUCACCACCAACCCAGUCAGAUGGUAUAGAUAUCACCAUCAACCCAGUCAGAUGUACUGGUAUAGAUAUCACCACCCAGUCAGAUAUACUGGUAUAGAUAUCACCACCCAGUCAGAUGGUAUAGAUAUUACCACCAACCCAGUCAGAUGGUAUAGAUAUCACCACCAGUCAGAUGGUAUUAAUAAUACCACCCAGUCAGAUGUACUGGUAUAGAUAUCACCACCCAGUCAGAUGGUAUUAAUAAUACCACCCAGUCAGAUGUACUGGCAUAGAUAUCACAACCCAGUCAGAUGUACUGGUAUAGAUAUCACCACCCAGUCAGAUGGUAUAGAUAUCACCACCCAGUCAGAUGUACUGGUAUAGAUAUCACCACCCAGUCAGAUGGUAUAGAUAUCACAACCCAGUCAGAUGUACUGGUAUAGAUAUCACCACCCAGUCAGAUGUACUGGUAUAGAUAUCACCACCCAGUCAGAUGGUAUAGAUAUCACCACCCAGUCAGAUGUACUGGUAUAGAUAUCACCACCCAGUCAGAUGUACUGGUAUAGAUAUCACAACCCAGUCAGAUGUACUGGUAUAGAUAUCACCACCCAGUCAGAUGUACUGGUAUAGAUAUCACAACCCAGUCAGGGGGG